rnacentral:rRNA from 1 species
UAGGGGCGAAAGACUAAUCGAACCGUCUAGUAGCUGGUUCCCUCCGAAGUUUCCCUCAGGAUAGCUGGGACAAUAACGCAGUUUUAUUAGGUAAAGCGAAUGAUUAGAGGUAUCUGGGGUAACUUGCCCUGGACCUAUUCUCAAACUUUAAAUUGGUAAGAACCUUUGCCUUUCUUGAUUGAGGCAGAGGGGUCAAUGCGUGUCCCAAGUGGGCCAUUUUUGGUAAGCAGA